rnacentral:rRNA from 1 species
AACUAACGCUGGCGGCGUGCCUAACACAUGCAAGUCGUACGAGAAAGCCGGCUUCGGCUGGUGAGUAAAGUGGCGCACGGGUGAGUAACGCGUGGAUAAUCUGCCCUUAAGUGUGGAAUAACGUACCGAAAGGUGCGCUAAUACCGCAUAAUGCCUGGCAACACAAGUUGUCCGGCCAAAGAAGGCCUCUGUUUACAAGCUUUCGCUUCAGGAUGAGUCCGCGUACCAUUAGCUUGUUGGUGGGGUAAUGGCCUACCAAGGCUGCGAUGGUUAGCUGGUCUGAGAGGAUGAUCAGCCACACUGGAACUGAGACACGGUCCAGACUCCUACGGGAGCAGCAGUGAGGAAUAUUGCGCAAUGGGGGCAACCCUGACGCAGCAACGCCGCGUGAGUGAGGAAGGUUUUCGGACUGUAAAGCUCUGUCGAGCGGGAAGAAGUGUACCAUGGCUAAUAUCCAUGAUAUUUGACGGUACCG